UACAGAGGGUGCGAGCGUUAAUCGGAAUUACUGGGCGUAAAGCGCGCGUAGGCGGCUUUGCAAGCCGGAUGUGAAAUCCCCGGGCUUAACCUGGGAACUGCAUUCGGGACUGCAUUGCUAGAGUAUGGGAGAGGGAAGUGGAAUUUCAGGUGUAGCGGUGAAAUGCGUAGAUAUCUGAAGGAACAUCAGUGGCGAAAGCGGCCAUCUGGGACAACACUGACGCUGAAGCACGAAAGCGUGGGGAGCAAACAGG
rnacentral:rRNA from 1 species